UGACCUCUAACCUUUUUGGUAAAUUACGUGACGGGAAUCCAUCAUUGCUGGGGAGUGGACGCCCUAAGCAGCAGCAGCAACAGGGCCUGGCCACACACAUCAAAGCAUCUCUGCAAAUUCUCCAAGGAGAAGACAAUGCUCAAGAAGAGCAGGGAGAAGUCACGUCAACAAACCCAAGGCUGCAGGAGAAAGCACCUUGGGCUCUGAGAAAGGUCUGUUUGAGGACCCAGUGAGAAGGCAGCCAUCUGCAGAGAAGACAGAGAGUCCUCAGCAAACUCUGAGUCAGCUGGGACCUUGACCUUGGCAUUCCACCUUCCAGCAUGCUCCUGCCUCCCUGUUUGAGUUCCUCUCCUGACUUCCUUCAGUGGUGAACAGUGAUGUGGACGUGAAAGCUGAAUAAACCCUUCUCUCCCCAA